rnacentral:rRNA from 1 species
CACGUAGGGUGCGAGCGUUGUCCGGAAUUAUUGGGCGUAAAGAGCUCGUAGGCGGUGUGUCGCGUCGGCCGUGAAAACCUGGGGCUUAACUCUGGGCUUGCGGUCGAUACGGGCAUCACUGGAGUUCGGCAGGGGAGACUGGAAUUCCUGGUGUAGCGGUGAAAUGCGCAGAUAUCAGGAGGAACACUGGUGGCGAAGGCGGGUCUCUGGGCCGAUACUGACGCUGAGGAGCGAAAGCGUGGGGAGCGAACAGG